AACGCACAUUGCGCCCCUUGGUAUUCCGAGGGGCAUGCCUGUUCGAGCGUCAUUAUAACCACUCAAGCCUCGGCUUGGUAUUGGGGUUCGCGGUCUCGCGGCCCUUAAAACCAGUGGCGGUGCCGUCUGGCUCUAAGCGUAGUAAUUCUUCUCGCUACAGAGACCAGGUGGUUGCUUGCCAAAACCCCCUAUUUUCUAUGGUUGACCUCGGAUCAGGUAGGGAUACCCGCUGAACUUAA
rnacentral:misc_RNA from 1 species